rnacentral:rRNA from 1 species
GACGAACGCUGGCGGCGUGCCUAAUACAUGCAAGUAGAACGCACAGUUUAUACCGUAGCUUGCUCCACCAUAGACUGUGAGUUGCGAACGGGUGAGUAACGCGUAGGUAACCUGCCUGGUAGCGGGGGAUAACUAUUGGAAACGAUAGCUAAUACCGCAUAAUAUUAAUUAUUGCAUGAUAAUUAAUUGAAAGGUGCAAUUGCACCACUACCAGGUGGACCUGCGUUGUAUUAGCUAGUAGGUGAGGUAACGGCUCACCUAGGCGACGAUACAUAGCCGACCUGAGAGGGUGAUCGGCCACACUGGGACUGAGACACGGCCCAGACUCCUACGGGAGGCAGCAGUAGGGAAUCUUCGGCAAUGGACGAAAGUCUGACCGAGCAACGCCGCGUGAGUGAAGAAGGUUUUCGGAUCGUAAAGCUCUGUUGUAAGAGAAGAACGGGUGUGAGAGUGGAAAGUUCACACUGUGACGGUAUCUUACCAGAAAGGGACGGCUAACUACGUG